UGGGGAAUAUUGCACAAUGGGCGCAAGCCUGAUGCAGCCAUGCCGCGUGUGUGAAGAAGGCCUUCGGGUUGUAAAGCACUUUCAGCGGGGAGGAAGGCGUUAAGGUUAAUAACCUUGGCGAUUGACGUUACCCGCAGAAGAAGCACCGGCUAACUCCGUGCCAGCAGCCGCGGUAAUACGGAGGGUGCAAGCGUUAAUCGGAAUUACUGGGCGUAAAGCGCACGCAGGCGGUCUGUCAAGUCGGAUGUGAAAUCCCCGGGCUCAACCUGGGAUCUGCAUUCGAAACUGGCAGGCUAGAGUCUUGUAGAGGGGGGUAGAAUUCCAGGUGUAGCGGUGAAAUGCGUAGAGAUCUGGAGGAAUACCGGUGGCGAAGGCGGCCCCCUGGACAAAGACUGACGCUCAGGUGCGAAAGCGUGGGGAGCAAACAGG
rnacentral:rRNA from 1 species